rnacentral:rRNA from 1 species
AACAGGAUUAGAUACCCUGGUAGUCCAUGCCGUAAACGAUGAGUGCUAAGUGUUGGAGGGCUCCCGCCCUUCAGUGCUGCAGCUAACGCAUUAAGCACUCCGCCUGGGGAGUACGACCGCAAGGUUGAAACUCAAAGGAAUUGACGGGGGCCCGCACAAGCGGUGGAGCAUGUGGUUUAAUUCGAUGCUACGCGAAGAACCUUACCAGGUCUUGACAUCUUCUGCCAACCUAAGAGAUUAGGCGUUCCCUUCGGGGACAGAAUGACAGGUGGUGCAUGGUUGUCGUCAGCUCGUGUCGUGAGAUGUUGGGUUAAGUCCCGCAACGAGCGCAACCCUUAUUGUUAGUUGCCAGCAUUUAGUUGGGCACUCUAGCAAGACUGCCGGUGACAAACCGGAGGAAGGUGGGGAUGACGUCAAAUCAUCAUGCCCCUUAUGACCUGGGCUACACACGUGCUACAAUGGACGGUACAACGAGUCGCGAAACCGCGAGGUCAAGCUAAUCUCUUAAAGCCGUUCUCAGUUCGGAUUGUAGGCUGCAACUCGCCUACAUGAAGUUGGAAUCGCUAGUAAUCGUGGAUCAGCAUGCCACGGUGAAUACGUUCCCGGGCCUUGUACACACCGCCCGUCACACCAUGAGAGUUUGUAACACCCAAAGCCGGUGAGGUAACCUUCGGGAACCAACCGUCUAAGGUGGGACAGAUGAUUAGGGUGAAGUCGUAACAAGGUAACC